GCUGAAGCCUGGUGCUUGCACCGGGUGGAUGAGUGGCGAACGGGUGAGUAACACGUGAGUAACCUGCCCCUGACUUCGGGAUAAGCCCGGGAAACUGGGUCUAAUACCGGAUACGACUGCCGGACGCAUGUCUGGUGGUGGAAAGUUUUUUCGGUUGGGGAUGGGCUCGCGGCCUAUCAGUUUGUUGGUGAGGUAAUGGCUCACCAAGACGACGACGGGUAGCCGGCCUGAGAGGGCGACCGGCCACACUGGGACUGAGACACGGCCCAGACUCCUACGGGAGGCAGCAGUGGGGAAUAUUGCACAAUGGGGGAAACCCUGAUGCAGCGACGCAGCGUGCGGGAUGACGGCCUUCGGGUUGUAAACCGCUUUCAGCAGGGAAGAAGCGCAAGUGACGGUACCUGCAGAAGAAGUACCGGCUAACUACGUGCCAGCAGCCGCGGUAAUACGUAGGGUACGAGCGUUGUCCGGAAUUAUUGGGCGUAAAGAGCUCGUAGGUGGUUGGUCACGUCUGCUGUGGAAACGCAACGCUUAACGUUGCGCGUGCAGUGGGUACGGGCUGACUAGAGUGCAGUAGGGGAGUCUGGAAUUCCUGGUGUAGCGGUGAAAUGCGCAGAUAUCAGGAGGAACACCGGUGGCGAAGGCGGGACUCUGGGCUGUAACUGACACUGAGGAGCGAAAGCAUGGGGAGCGAACAGGAUUAGAUACCCUGGUAGUCCAUGCCGUAAACGUUGGGCACUAGGUGUGGGGGGCAUUCCACGUUCUCCGCGCCGUAGCUAACGCAUUAAGUGCCCCGCCUGGGGAGUACGGUCGCAAGGCUAAAACUCAAAGGAAUUGACGGGGGCCCGCACAAGCGGCGGAGCAUGCGGAUUAAUUCGAUGCAACGCGAAGAACCUUACCAAGGCUUGACAUACACCGGACCGUCCUGGAAACAGGUCCUCUUCUUUGAAGCUGGUGUACAGGUGGUGCAUGGUUGUCGUCAGCUCGUGUCGUGAGAUGUUGGGUUAAGUCCCGCAACGAGCGCAACCCUCGUUCUAUGUUGCCAGCAUGUGAUGGUGGGAACUCAUAGGAAACUGCCGGGGUCAACUCGGAGGAAAGUUGGGGAUGACGUCAAAUCAUCAUGCCCUUUAUGUCUUGGGCUUCACGCAUGCUA
rnacentral:rRNA from 1 species